rnacentral:lncRNA from 1 species
GCGGACCACACUGAUUAGGUGUGCGGCUGCAUGGGCUUUUGCCCUGAAUGACCGAGUUUCUGACACUCUUGGGCGCGGACCACGUGGAAAGGAGUGCGGACCGCGCAUCUUGACUUGAAAAUUGCAUGGUCUCUGAACUAUCCAGCGCGGCCGUGUGGCAAAGCAGUGCAGACCGCGCAGGUUGACCUAGAAAUUGCCCAGCCUCUGAACUCUCCUGUGCGGCCGCGUGAUAAAUCAGUACGGACCGCACAUGUCAUUUUGUUCCCUACUUCAGUUGUCUUUUGACACUUGGCAGAUUUCACUCCUUUUUGAGCCGAUCUUUGGUAUUUGUCAUCUUGUCACUCAAACCUGCAAUCAAGCGCAACUUGUAAGCAUUUUGGGACUAAUUUAUGGAGUUAAUGCACAAAGUUUGGGUAAGAAUGGGUAUAAAACAUGUAGAAAUCACAGUUAUCACGGUCCUUAAGCCGCUUUUGCGAUCGCGCUUCUACGCGCUUCAACCACAUCUGCGGCAGGUGCGUCCAAGCACCCGCACCUACGAUCCUCACUCCCAGCUCCUUUUCUCGCUUUUGCGAUGACACUACCACUUUUGCAGCUCCUCACCUGCACCCAACGCUCCGCAGGUGCGGUUAUACCAGAACCAAAAAAUCUUCAGCAAUGCAACAUGGAAUAAAAAUGAUCCGAACCUCGUUCAAAACUCACCCGAGCUACUCGGUGUCACACCUCCUUUUUCCUACCCUUGGAAGGGUAUAAGGGAGUUUUUUCAAAUUUAAGUGACAAUCAAAACGGGAUUUAUUAAAAGAUUCAGAGUCGCCACUUGGGAAAUUCAUGGCAUCCCAAGUCACCGGUUCAAAUCCCGAAUCGAGGAAAAGAUUGACACUGUAUUACAAUCUGCGAACACAGAAAUCCAGGUAAGGAAUUCUGUUAACCCGGGAGAAGGUAUUAGGCAUUCCCGGAUUUUGUGGUUCUAGCACGGUCGCUCAACUAUUAUUAUUGGCCUAAUUAUCUGAUUUAAUUAUACGUUUAAAACCUAUUGUGCAUUUUUAGCUUUAGAACCACUUUUAAUUAAGUUAAAUCGCUUUUCAGGAAGAUUCAACGUCAUUUAAAACACGCCUUGAACCACGCCACAUGAAAGUCUAUAACAUAUUUUAUUUAACGUUAUUGGGAAUUGGAGUUGGGUCACAUGAAAUGCACACCCGAGUUUAGGAAGGUAACUUUUUAAAAUAACGCGCCUAAAACAACUACGCACUUUCAAGUUUGCGAGGGCCAUGGAAAUUCAACUAGGUGGCACACCUCGAUUCUAAUUUCAAGGGAUUGUACUCAACUAAAUCAAGGCCGAGAGUUUAUGGAAUAUAAUAGGAGAUAACACUAAGUUUUAUCAAAGUGAUGUACUAGAAUACUGAUAACGUAAUAAAGAACAAUGUAGCUUCGAGUUCAAAUAUUUAGGAAUAGUAAAGCAGCAGGAAGAAAUCAAAGUAGUUAUUCAAUGUAUACUAGUAGUAGUGUAGGUGACAAAAAUAAAGAAAUUUAACAGUGAUCCUAAGGUUACAAGAGCUUGAGUUCGUCAACAAAACCAACUAUUAAAUACAAAUUGGUCACUAACCUUAACAAAAACAGAAAACACACACUGUCAGUUAGAGCAAAUUGGAAAAUAUUAGAGCUAAUAAAUUUACCUGCCGGUCUUGGUCUGAAUUGGCCUAGCAGUAUUAUCAAAUCAAAGCAACAACAGAAACUAAUACAUAAUCUUAACUCACACAUAUUACAUUCAGGCGAUUUCAACCAACUUUAAUUUAUUAAACAACCUAAAUAAAUCUAUCCAAGCAAACAGAAAUUGAAAUUUAGUUUUUGCCUUCAAAAUUCAUCAAGUGAAAUACACCAGGACACUUCCAAUUUCAAUACAAUCAUGUCGUGCUAUUAUACUUAACAUGCUCUGAAGUUACAAAGAAGGUCGUAGGUAAAAUAUCUGGAAUAAUGAAAGAGAACCGAAAUUUUGACCAAAUAAAGAUCAGAAAACUGUAAAUGGAGCUCAGUUAUUAACAAACAAACAUCAAUACAACCUCAACCUUGAGCGAAACCCAUUUUGAAAACCCAGAAAUAUGAAUGAGAGAACUUGCCAUUUGAUGGGAAACAACACUGCUUCUUUUAUGUAAAUUUUGAGCAAGGAUCGACAUAAAAAUGAUUUGUAUUCUAUAUGUUCUUUUCAGGUUUGAGACUGCAGAUUUACCAAUUCAAUGAGGGUCUUCUUUUCUCAAUUUUUCCUUUAGUAGGUGCGGUAGCUUCAUGGGUGUAGGAAAGGGUCUGUUCUUUGAGAGAAUUGGGGGUGAUGGCUCCUAAAAGUUUUCUGGUUUCUUAAGAAGACGAGAGCGCCAUUUUUGUUGUCAAGAGGCCUCAAUAUGGAAAAAUCUGAUCUCUCUUUAGUGUGUUAGGUCUCCUUUUA